GUUACAUUCAUAAGAGAAAUAAAAUAUGUCUCAAAUUCUUAAAUUUUUUUUUGCUACGGUUCUAAUUUUUGCUCUAUUUCUUAGUGCAACUAACGGUCAAAAAUUUAAUGAGUGUUAUGAAGAUACUGAUUGUCCAAUACAAAUGUGUGGCUAUCCUUUUAAUGUGGACUGUGUUGGGAACAAGUGUACAUGUGUUUAUAAUCCAUAAUGAUUUUACCACACUAGACCGGAUUAGAUCCCUUAUUUAAAAAAUUCUACGAGUUGUCUUUAAUACUCCCUCUGUCCCAAAUUGUAUGUCACUUUAGAAAAAAUAUUUGUCCUAAAUUGUAUGUCGCUUUACAAUACCAAUGAAAAAUUAAUGUUACUUUUCC